GGCGGGACUAAGGGCUUGAUCCGGGCUGCUGAGGGCCAUGGCGCUGGGUGCUGCCGCCGAGGGCGCGUCAGCGUGGGACGCUUCGCCGGGACCUGUGAGGCGUCCGGCGCCCGUCUGACAUCUUCCAUACGCUCAGGAGGGGGUGGACGGCCACGAGCGAGCGGCCGCUGAGGAGGCGUCUUGGACCGGCAGCUCUGUCUGUCUGUCGCCCCGCCGCAUUGAUGAUUCGGAGACCUAAUCAUGAUUUAAUAAAAUAAAUAAUUUCUGCAGCGAGCGAGCGGAGCUCCGGCGGCGCUCGGAAGCUGAGCGGACUCACAGUCCGGUACCGGCGGCCGGAACCAGGAGAUCCACAGUCCGGUGUUUGUGAGGGAUCGAUCGAUCGAUCGGUCGAUCGAUCGGUCGGUCCGGUCCAGCGCAGGGAGCGGGGAAGAAAAAUGAUGAAUCCGGUCCACGCACGCACGGCCGCGCGGGUGCGAGUGCUGACCGCGGACCCUUGAUUCAGCCUCGAGUGGCUGCACGACAGUGUCGACACCCGGCUCCGAACCCGAGGCCCCGGACGGACUCAGACGCGACGGUCCGAAGAGGAGCCGCGGCCUCCGUCACCAGCAACGCGGCAGAGAAACGCAGGCUGCAGCGGGUGGAGGGUGCGGUCGGGGGUGUGGACGGUGGGCGUGGCCGGAGGGGGUGUGGUUCGAUGUCACGCACGCCUGGCAGCGUCUCCCUUUUGCUGAGGAUCACCCGGACAGCACGCUGAGCGGAGCAUCCGAGUGGCUCCGCCCCCUCCGACGACUGGACGGAGAAGAGCGUGGGGAUGAGAGCGCAGGGCGGUCCUGUGCGUGUGAAAUGCACAGUGUGUGUACACGCUCCCUUCGCUCCUUGAUUCUCUUUUCUUUUCCCGUUGACCGCUUCCAGCCGCUGUUUAAUGAGCGUGUUUGGCCUGGGGAGGACUGGUUCGCUGCAGGUCUCCUGGAUGAGCACCCUGCGUCACCCCCAACUGAUUUACCUUGGACCUUUAUCUGUCCUCGCACCCGAGCCUCCCCCGGGUCGGAGCUCUUCCCUCUAUCCGCUCGUUCCCAAGGUCCUCCAUCUUUGCCGUAUUUGGGAGCGUUCUCCCCGCAGCGGUUCGUUUUCGCUGUCGUGUCCGUAGCAGCGCAACUCUGAACUCCGCGGCCGUCGCCCCCGCUGUUGGAGCGACGUUUACGAUUUACGGCAGAAUAACUCGUCCGGUUCCCCUUUUCCCACAAGCACAGCCGGAUCCUCCGCCGAGCGCUCCCAGGUUCCCUGCUCGACCACCGCCGGGGUGCUGCUUGCCUCUCUGGUUUCUCUCCCUGUCGGUUAAUCUCGGGGGCGAACCGCGCCCCCCGCAGGCCAGCGUGUGCAUCUGCGGGGAGAUGUUGCCGCGUUUCGCAUGGUCACACGGGCUGGAGAUGAUGACCUGCGGGAGACACUCUCAGCGGUUGAUCAUCCCAGUUACUGAUCGCUGGGAGAUUCUGUGAGAUGCACCGCGAACCAUAUUGCACAGUGUUUUGCCCUUAACCGCCGUCGCAUCCGAGCCGCGCAGCGACCGCUGUCCGGUUUGCCUUUACGCCACUUUCACAAGCGCGCUCCGGUUAAGGUCGAAUCCUUCGGCUCUGUGUCGGUAGCUCCCGAGGACUCGUUGCUCUGGGGUCUGUGGCGUCGCGAUCGACAUGGCGAACGGUCCCUGAAGGGCCGAGGGUGCGGGACAGGUGUCCGUCCUCCGUCUCCUCCUCAAAAUGCUCUCCGCGUGGACACCGUGGCGGCUCCGGGCUCCCCGUCUGUGACCCUCCGUCGGUCCGCUCUCUCCUGACCCUUCGUUCGUUCGAACCC
ensembl:lncRNA